GACGAACGCUGGCGGCGUGCUUAACACAUGCCAGUCGAACGGAAAGGCCCUGCUUGCCGGGUCCUCGGGUGGCGAACGGGUGAGUAACGCGUGGGUGAUCUGCCCUGCACUUCGGGAUAAGCCUGGGAAACUGGGUCUAAUACCGGAUAGGAGCCAUUUUUAGUGUGAUGGUUGGAAAGUUUUUUCGGUGUAGGAUGAGCUGGAGGCCUAUCAGCUUGUUGGUGGGGUAAUGGCCUACCAAGGCGGCGCCGGGUAGCCGGACUGAGAGGGUGGACGGCCACAUUGGGACUGGGAUACGGCACAGACCCCUACGGGCGGCAGCAGGGGGGAAGAGUGAACAAUGGGCGCAAGCCGGAUGCAGCGACGCCGCGUGGGGGAUGACGGCCUUCGGGUUGUAAACUCCUUUCGCUAGGGACGAAGCUUUUUGUGACGGUACCUAGAUAAGAAGCCCCGGCUAACUACGUG
rnacentral:rRNA from 1 species